rnacentral:snRNA from 1 species
GUAUUUGGCAGCGCAUAUGCUAGAAUUGGUACAAUAAAGAGAAGAUUAGCAUGGCCCUGGGCAAGGAUGACACGCAUAUUUGUGACGCAUUCCAUAUUUUU